UACAUGUGGGGCAAGCGUUGUUCGGAAUUACUGGGCAUAAAGGGUGCGUAGGCGGCUUGUUAAGUCAGGGGUGAAAGUUUUCGGCCCAACCGGAAAAUGGCCUUUGAUACUGGCGAGCUGGAGUGCGUGAGGGGUAACCGGAACGAGCAGUGUAGCGGUGAAAUGCGUAGAUAUUGCUCGGAAGGCCAACGGCGAAGGCAGGUUACUGGUACGCAACUGACGCUGAGGCACGAAAGCGUGGGGAGCAAGCAGG
rnacentral:rRNA from 1 species